rnacentral:rRNA from 1 species
UACGGAGGGGGCCAGCGUUGCUCGGAAUCACUGGGCGUAAAGGGCUCGUAGGCGGUUUGAUAAGUCCUGUGUGAAAUCCCUUGGCUCAACCAAGGAAUGGCGCAGGAUACUGUCAUACUUGAGGCCGGGAGAGGGAAGCGGAAUUCCCAGUGUAGCGGUGAAAUGCGUAGAUAUUGGGAGGAACACCGGUGGCGAAGGCGGCUUCCUGGACCGGUUCUGACGCUGAUGAGCGAAAGCCAGGGGAGCAAACAGG